GGCUAUAUUAUUUACUACCGUAACCACACAGCAUAAUAAAUUAAUUAUGUUUAUAAAAUUACCCUCGUGUAUAUGUUUGUGUCGUGUCAAUGACCGAGUCACC